rnacentral:lncRNA from 1 species
CGAAGUGACCAAAAGUACGAAAUCAUGGCAAUUGGUUACAGUAACUAUUCAAUUUCAGGCACAGACAAAGCUUCACAUUCUAAGAAACUUGGUGCAGAAACGCAUAGUUCAUGAUGAAUUACUGGACCAACCAUUCUCAAACCACUACCACGACAUACUAUGACACUAGUUUCUGAGGAGACCAAAGUAGUCUCAAGUUUUGGCCACCAUAGAACACCCAAAGUUUAUUUACAUUUUGAUUCCCCAAGACGAUGAGAAUCCGUUCAGUGAGAUUCAACUGCUGCUGCUAGCCGCUUCGCCACAUCCAGAGUUUCUUCCUUGACCACUAGCUCGACCCCCUGCUUUCCAAACACCUGCAACAUGGCACAAGCUAAAAAGAUUACCCUUAAGGCCUGAUUUGGUGGUCAGGGAAAUGAAGGAGAUCCAUGGGGAGGCUAUUCCCCCCAAUGAUCCUCUCUAUUUCCCUGGUCACCAAACUAACCCUAAAGUCAGGAGUGGUAAUGCACUCUAAAUUUUACACUACAAACUUUAAAGAUCGAAUUGGAUUAGUAUCGGGUCCUAUUCCUAUUCAUUUUUGAACUAAAAUUAUUUACGAGCCCUAACUUUUUGUGAAUGGACAUUUGAAUCGUGAUCCAUUACCAGUUUACCAUCCCUACCUAAAGUACAUAAUUAGGGAAGCAGCUCAAUAAAAAUGAUGAAUAUUAGAAAUGCAUAACAGGCAGUAACAGAUUAGCUACUUAAAUUUAAGACACCAGCCUGAAAGUGGGUGAUGCAAACAGUCAAGGGUGGACAAGUUUGUACCAAUGUCCUCACUUAGUUGUGGGUGUCUUAGGAUCCUUAAAUGAGAAAGGUAUUUCUCAUAUCCAAUAUGCAGACGAUAUAGUCUUAAUGACUGAUGGAUCUAACAAGUCAAUCACAAAUAUUAAAAUCAUGUUAUAUUGCUUCGAAUGUGUUGACGCUUUUUCGGAGCGCCAAUCACUCAAGAAGAACCGGCGGCGGUGCCCUCUGCACAGGGGCGGACGGUCCGCGCGCAGGGGCCGGACGGUCCGCGGCCUGGUGCGAGGCGGCGGUGCUCUCUGGUCAGACGCGGACGGUCCGCGGCACAGGGCCGGACGGUCCGCGACCUGGUGCAGGAGCUAGAAUUCCCUGCCUGACGGCCGGACGGUCCGCGCCUUAGGGCCGGACGGUCCGCGCGUGCGCAGGGGCGGCGGAAGAUCGCCGGCGGCGCCUGGAUCUCGCUCCCGGGAGGGACCCCGUCGGGGAGGAGAGAUCCCAGGAGUUGUCUAGGCUCGGGCCGGCCGACCUAGACUCCCCUAAUCGACGUAGAGUCGAGGAGAGGCGGAGAAUUUGGGGAUUGGAAUACUAAACUAGGGCUAAACUAGAACUAGACUAGAACUACUCCUAAUGCAUAAGGUAAAAACGAGUAAUAGACUUGAUUUGUUUGAUUGUUGGGGGGUUCAAUCGGCCGUAGCCCUUCAUCUAUAUAAAGGGGGAGGUCUGGAUCCGCUUCCAACUGAUUUCCGAGUUAAUCCCGCGGUUUUAGGUAACAAAUCCCGCGAGAAACUAGGAACCCUAACUGACUCUGCGCACGCGCGGACCGUCCGGCCUCCGGGCCGGACCGUCCGCACGGUCAUUUUGGGUUCGAACAUAUGCCCCCCCUGCCUUUUGGUGAAGGUUGACGAACCAAAAGCAUAUGAACUAAACCUGAUGUAAGUCACCGGCUUUUCGAUAUGGAGAUUAUUCAAUAAAGCACCAAUAUAAAGGCCGUUUCGGAUUGUAUCUUUCUCGGCCAUGACCAUUUGAUCAAUGGAUCAAAAGGAAUAGAAUGGAGGUGCCCCCCAGUCUGGAUAGACGAAGGGAUUAUACAUGUACCAUGAAUUCAUCAUCGUGCCAUUCCAUGUUUGAACAGGAUAAUAUACCGACGAUGAGUAAAUAGGUGGAAAGUACCCUGGUCUCAUAGAAUGAAUAGGCGAUGCUUGUUGUGUCGCCUUUUGGGCCGUUUUGUUUAACCGUUUUGUUUUAGCAGGUGGCCAGGGUUUCUUUGUUGACCGAUCACGUGGAACAGUCUUUUUGCUAGCAUUUUUGGAGAGCAACUGAUCAAAAGUAGGAUCGGCUUUGAUCAGCCGAUUAUAUGUGCUUUGACCUUGCGUCUUUUUCCUUGCUUUGUGUAGAGGUUGACGCCUUUGGUCAUAGGGGGACUGUCCGGCUGAGUUAGCCGGACCAUUUGUCUGAGCACCGGAUCGUCCGCACGUAGGUGCCGGACCAUUUACGAUGUUUGGGCUAGGCUGAUGUGUUUGGUUCAUUAACUGUGCCUGCCCCCCAGUGUCUUCAGACUUUUUAGCCUUCUCGUCCGAAGCCUUUCAAGCAAUCUCCUUUUGUGAUAUAUCUGACAUGCGGGGAUCGCCAAUGACGAUACCCUUGCCUUUGCCUUUAUCGGCCAUUUCGGGCCGAACCAAGACCUUUUUGCAUGUGAGUUCUAUUGUAUUAACAGGAAAGGGUUGUGUGUCUACUUGCAUCUCCUGAAAAGCCAAUCGACCCUCAUUUAUGGUCGAUUGUAUCUGUCGACGAAAAACAUUACAAUCAUUGGUGGCAUGAGAAAAGGAAUUAUGCCACUUACAAUAAGCACGCCUCUUUAAUUCAUCAGGAGGAGGAAUAGUAUGAGUUAAUUUAAUGUUGCCGUUUUUCAGUAACUCGUCAAAUAUUUUAUCGCAUUUGGCAACAUUAAAAGUAAACUUAACUUCCUCUUGUCGAUUCUUUCGAAUCGACUGUAAAGCAGAACACGCUGAAGGUUUAGCCUGUCCUGGCCAAACCAGUUCGGCGGUGUAUAUAUCUGUGGAUUCAUCGUCCGAAUUAUCGUAUCCCACUAAAUGCAUCUUAUGGCUAGCCGAUUUUGAUGUUUCCUUACUUCGGCUUUCACAGGUCAUAGCCCGCUGGUGUAAGUGCACUAAUGAAAAGAAUUGGGUGCUGUCUAAUUUUUCUUUUAAGUAGGAUCGCAACCCAUUGAAAGCUAGCCCUGUCAGUUGUUUUUCUGCGACAUGAAUCUGAAAGCAUCGGUUUCUAGUGUCCCGGAGUCUCCGGAUAUAGUCAUUAACCGAUUCUUCAGGCCCCUGUCGGACUGAAGCUAAGUCAGCCAAUUCUAACUCAUGUUCUCCUGAGAAGAAGUGUUCAUGAAAUUUCUGCUCUAAUUCUUCCCAAGAGUUAAUAGAGUUUGGUGGCAAAGCUGCGUACCAUGCAAAUGCAGUAUCAGUAAGGGACAACGAGAAUAAACGAACGCGGUAGGCUUCCCCAUCAGCCAAUUCUCCCAAGUGUGCUAUGAAUUGGCUUAUAUGUUCGUGUGUGCUUUUCCCACUUUCACCAGAAAACUUAGAGAAGUCUGGUAUUCUAGUUCCCUGUGGGUAUGGCACGGUGUCGAAUCGGUGGCUAUAAGGCUUCCGAUACGAUUGCCCUGUACCUGACACACUAACACCGAGUUUGUCCCUGAACAUCCCGGCUACCUCGUCUCUGACCCUCUCUGCCAUGUCUGGCGACCAUCCAUUAAGUUUGUGGGUGGAGAUUUCAGGUUGCCUGACAUUACUCUGUCGGCUUUCCUCCCAGGUAUGUUUGAGGUGUGUGUUAGGUGUCCUAUUAAUGUCACCAGCUCCUGCCCUAUACCCUUCAGGCUCUCUUGUGGCCGAAUGGUAUUCAGCCCUAUGUCCAUGAGGUGGUAUGGCAUGAUUAUAAUGUGUUGCUGGUGGGGCACCAUAAUGUUGCUGCGAUGAAUGUGGGAACUGUGUGUAUUGCGCAGCUCUCGGCUCUGCGUAUGCAUAUCCGGACGGUCCGGCGUAAGAGGCCGAAUGGUCCGCGACCUGACCAAAUGGUCUGAAGGUAUAUUCGGAUUGUCCAGCCGUAUAUGGUGCUACGUGGGUAGUCUCGUACCCAGACCGUCUGUCGUAAAGAACUGGACGGUCUGCGAUCGGGCCGAAUGGUCCAGGGCUGUGCCCGGAUGGAUCGGCCAUAUAUGGCGUGACUUGGGCAGUCUGCGCAUGGACUCGUGUAGAGUCGGAUGGUCCAGCGUAAUACGUCGGCCGGUUCAUGCCAUAUCCGGACGGUCCGGCGUAAGAUGGCGGACGGUCCGCAACAUAUCCGGACGGUCCGACGUGAUGCACCGGACGGUCCGUGAUGGGGCCGAAGUGUUCAGGGUUGUAUCCUGAUGGUCCGGCCAUGUACGGUGCGACCUGAGUGUUUUGUGUGCGGGCCUGCAUCUGGUCGGACGGUCCGGCGAAAUACGCCGGACGGUCCGCGGUAUAACCGAACUGUCUGAGAUGAUGCUCGGACGGUCCGGUCGCGUCCAGUACCUGCCGCGUGACUAGUGGUUGCGGCUGUGAUGGUGGCACGAAAGCGUGCAUCGGCAUACCAUAUGAUGGCUGGGUCAAAGGUGACCCGUUUAUAGCCGAUGUGUUUGACGUGGGUGGCACUGUAUUAGACUCUCGCGAUGGAAAAUUAGGAGCAGCUGAUUUCUCGUAUGCACGUAAAUGCAUUUUAAUAGAUUCAUCUACAUAUUGCUUUAACUGAUCUCCUCGUUGAUCCAUGAAAGUCGUAAGAGAUAGAUCUGGAGUACUUACAGCGGGACCCUGCAGUGGAGGUAGGAGAGAUUCCAUGUCGAUCUCCCCUUGACGGACGAUCUUCUGGUGGCGAUCCACCGUGAAGUGUGACAAGUACUUGUCCGCCGCCUCCUUGCGCCGUUCGGAGAGUUUAUGCAGCAGUUCCGCCUCUUCCUUGUCGCGUUGUUCGUUCCAUUGCCGCAUCACCUCCUUCUCAUCGCGCAUUACGAGGUCUUCAAAGGGCCUUUGGUCAUCAGCCGGGAGCGCCUCCAUGGCCGGCUUGAUGAUGUUGGUAGUAAAGAUCUUGGUGUGAUCCUUAGAACCGGCCAUUUAUGGGCCGAUUUUUAGCAGAUCUAGACACCUAGUCCCCAGCGGAGUCGCCAAAAAGUAUGUUGACGCUUUUUCGGAGCGCCAAUCACUCAAGAAGAACCGGCGGCGGUGCCCUCUGCACAGGGCCGGACGGUCCGCGCGCAGGGGCCGGACGGUCCGCGGCCUGGUGCGAGGCGGCGGUGCUCUCUGGUCAGACGCGGACGGUCCGCGGCACAGGGCCGGACGGUCCGCGACCUGGUGCAGGAGCUAGAAUUCCCUGCCUGACGGCCGGACGUUCCGCGCCUUAGGGCCGGACGGUCCGCGCGUGCGCAGGGGCGGCGGAAGAUCGCCGGCGGCGCCUGGAUCUCGCUCCCGGGAGGGACCCCGUCGGGGAGGAGAGAUCCCAGGAGUUGUCUAGGCUCGGGCCGGCCGACCUAGACUCCCCUAAUCGACGUAGAGUCGAGGAGAGGCGGAGAAUUUGGGGAUUGGAAUACUAAACUAGAGCUAAACUAGAACUAGACUAGAACUACUCCUAAUGCAUAAGGUAAAAACGAGUAAUAGACUUGAUUUGUUCGAUUGUUGGGGGUUCAAUCGGCCGUAGCCCUUCAUCUAUAUAAAGGGGGAGGUCUGGAUCCGCUUCCAACUGAUUUCCGAGUUAAUCCCGCGGUUUUAGGUAACAAAUCCCGCGAGAAACUAGGAACCCUAACUGACUCUGCGCACGCGCGGACCGUCCGCGCCACCACCGCGGACGGUCCGGACCGCGGACCGUCCGGCCUCCGGGCCGGACCGUCCGCACGGUCAUUUUGGGUUCGAACAGAAUGACUAUCAUGUAUAAAUAUUAAUUUUCAUACGAGUAAGUCCUUUUGUUUAGCUUCAGCAAGAGGAAAAAGAAAUGAAAGCAAGCAUGCUAAAUCGUAGGCUUGGAGACUUACCAAUGAAAUACCUGGGGAUACAUGUGUCUUAUAAUGUGUUAGGCAUACGGGCCUUUUAGGGUAUGUCUGACAAGAUAAUGAAAAGAUUGGAUCCAUAGAAAGGGAAGUGGAUGACUUCUGGAGGUAACUGCAUCCUCACAAAUUCUUGUCCAAGCAAUCUUCCAAAGUAUAUCGUUAGGAAGGACUUGGGAGAUUCCUCUAAGACGAAGUUUGCAAGGGAAAGAUAUUUUGGAAUGAGAGGAACUGCUGGAUCUGUUAAGUAAUGUCCAGUUAAAUGUUUUGGAACAGGAGGUACUUGAAUGUUCAUCCUUGUAUAUGUGCUAAUCUGCAAAUGCAAAAUUCCUCUGAAGAUUAAAUUAUUCUUAUGGCAUGUUUUCCAUAAUAAACUACAAAUAGUUGCCACCCUAAAAAUAAAUGGGGUGGGAGCACUUUAUGUUGUGUAUAAGCCUGAAAACGGUUAAGCAUAUCCUUUCCAAGUGCGUUUUUGCUCAAUAUGUUUGGUGUUGUACCAGGGAUGCUUUUGAUUUACAGGGCUUUCCAACAUCUACCUGAGAUAUUCUUGUAUGCCUACUCAUCUAGCCUCUCUAAAAACUUUGACCUCAUUAAUCUCAUGAUUGUCAUCAUCAGCAUUUAAAGAAACAGACGUCGUAUCAUGACCAUUAUAGAUGUACUUGUAAAGGUAUUUCUUUAAAUGGUGCUAAUGACAACUAUGAGAUUAAUGAGAUCCUAGAUGAGUAGGCCUACAAGAGGCUUUAAGGAGAAUCUAUGGGUUUGGUCUUAAUGGUAUCUUACCCUAGUGCAGCAACUACAACUUCACCUUCCAGGUGUAGCGUUUUGAAUGCGCAGGGAGUGGAAAAGGCGAUGUUAACUGAGUUUUUAAGGCAAAUUUUUAAGAUGCACAAGGAGUUUGGAAUCCUGCGUCGAAAAAUGAACACCUAAAACACACAAGUUGGUCGGAUCAUCUUAGUAUAUCCUAUCAAAGGGGAGACAUUAUCUAAGAGUGGUAAUAAACCACGUGUGAGGUCCACCUCAUAUGAGUAUCUAAGGACAGUUGAAGGAACCAAGGUCAUAUCAUCUAGACCUAAGUAUGGGCCACCCGAUCCGGUCGACCCACCCGAAAAAUACCUUACCUAGUCGGGCCGGGCCAAUGUGUUGGGCGGGCUCGGGCUUGGGGCAAAAAUUAAACCUGUGGGCCUUACCUGGUCCUCUUCUCUUUGAUCCCGACUCGGCAGCCGCCACGCGACUCACGCCGCCGCAAGUGUAGAUCCCCCCAUGCCCCAGCCGUCAACAUCCUCCAGGAGCACAGGCACAACCACACAGCUUGCUGACCACCGCCUGACGACAUCUCCAUCAGCAUCAGGCGUCAGCAGGUAAUCUGCAAGACUCCGUCCACCACUACUAGUACUGCUUUGCGUUCUAAAAUAUGAACUUUUGAUAGCAAAUAGCAUUUACGUUCUAGAAUCUAGAUAGCUAGUAGUACUUAGUCGUACUUACGUUCUGCAUAUCUAGGUACUAGCUUUAGAUAUUAAAAUAAUUUAUUUAUUUGGAGUUGGCAGACUGCUCACUUAUACGUUUUUGCCUAUUUAUUAUUAGAUUGGCCAUUGGUCAUUUGCUUCAAGACAUGGCAAGCAACAGCUGGAGUGAAGAGGAGGAAGAGAUCCAAGAGGUCAAUGCUCAAGCAAAUUCAGAGCAGCAGCAUGAUGGAGCCGUAGAGCCAGAUGUUAUUGUGACUGUGUGAGACUGAGGUUCAAUUUCUAAUGUGUGACAGUAUGAGACUGAAGAUGUUAUUGUAAAUUUGUUAUUUCUGAACUCAUUGUACCAUGUAAUCAUCUCUGUUGUUCUGAGCUGUAGUAAAAUCAAUAUUAUAUUAUAUUACUUGAUGGCAUUAGCCAUGUACCCCCUCCAGUCUGCACUGUGCAGACAUGCACACAGGCGGGCUCGGGCCAUGAUUAUGUAUUUUCUAUCGGGCUACGGGCGGUUUGGAGCCAAAGUGUUUUCAUGUUGGGUUUUGUGUGGCCCGGCCCGACCCGGUAAAUGAUCAGGUCUAAUAUCAUCCAUAUAUCGUCGUGUCAUAUCUUUUCCACUACUGAUAAAUGGUGUCGGUAGAACUAAUCUUUUGCCCAAGACACACAUUUGGUUUUUUGCUUGGUAUAGAUCUACCUGUAUUUUUGCUUGAAUAUUGAGUCAAUACUUUUAUACAGAUAGGUCACCAUUGAGAUCGGACACAACGACUGUACAAAUAGAGCACACAUCAUUGUUACUAAGUUUUCUAUGAUACAUAAUUAACUAAGUAUAUAUUGUCACAAGCUAAAACACAUCGUCAUCUCCUAUCUUUCAAUCCGGUAUCACAGUUGGCAAAUAAUCUCAUUUGAUUUCUAGAAAAUUGUUGACAAAACAAGUCCUUGGAUUUUUUUAUCAACGAGCGUCGAAUUAUUGUAAUUCAGAACAUGAUUUCUAAGAACACGAUUAUUUUGAACUAUAUCAUUUUAAUUUUUAACGAUUUUGUAAUAACCACUCACUCUUCAGUCCGUGUGUAGUAUGAUGAUCUGGGUUGAAAUAAACGUUGUUGUGGUCCGAGCUUUUGAACCAUCCUUUAUUACGAUGAAAGAGUUACAACAAUAAUAUAUGUGAUUACUAAACAUAAAAAUUAAGUAAAUGUUAAAAGAUUUUAGCUAGAGAAUAAAUUAAUGUGUCUCUUGUUACGUCACAACAUAGUUCCAAUAAUUAUGCUCUUGUUAACUUUAGCUAACUCUGAACGCAGAACAUUUUUUUUGCAAGAGGUCAGACCAUACUCUCACGAUGAUUAGAUUCAAUGUUUUUUAAAAACUGUCGUUAUGUAAAGUCUUCCACCGAUAUGCUCUAAUGACUCCAAAUGAAAAACUUUGCCAACAAUAUCUGCAAUAUCUGCAUGCUUGCUUAGUUAAAUUUAAAUAAAUUUUUUGCUUCUAUCAAUAUGAUUAUAAACCACAUAAAAGGAAGGGUCAUUAUCUAGAAAUGUCUCAUUAUAUAUUUGGAUGACCUCAUAAAAUAGUAUAAGAUGAUCUAGAUAGGGAGGAAAUUGUAUUAGAAUGAUGAAUGGCUCCAUAUUAGUACAUUUCCGCAAUUUCAACUAUAUACUAUGCUUAAUAUUCUGAAAGUUAAGAUCGCCGAAUUUGGAUCGAACAACACUCUUUUCAAUAUGUAUAGAGUGUCGUCCGGUCUAAACUAGCAGAUCUUAACUUUUGAAAUAUUAGGCAUAGUCUAGGGUUGACAUUAGGAAGACGUAUUACCGUGGAGCCAUUUACCAUGCAAAUUCAAUUUUCUCUCUAUCUAAAGCAUCUUAUAACAUUGCAUGAGAUGGUCCAACAAUAUAAUAUGACGUUCGUAGUUAACGACCCUAACUUCUAUGUGGUUUAUACUCAUAUAAAGAGAGAAGCAUAUAAAUUAUUUAAAUUUAACUAAGCAUGUGAAUUUUGCAUACAUUACUGGUAUAGUUCUUCAUUUGAAUCCAUUAAAGCAUAUCAGUGAAAUGUCGUACAGAGAGACCACACUAAUUGAUUUGAGGUCACACUAAUACAUAACUAUAUUUUUUUAAAAAAAAUUAAAAAUUUGUUAGCUUUUAUUCAAACAAUUAAGGUUUGAUUUAUUGGUCGAAUCAAACAUCAUGUGAGUAUGGUCUGACGUCUUGCAAAGAAAUGCUCUACGUUAGAAGUUAACUAAAGAUAAUAAUAACAUAAUUAUUAGAACUAUGUUUGCGGCGUAACAAAAAGACACAGUAUUUUAUCCUCUAACUAAAAUAUUUGAAUAUUUACUCAAUUUUCAUGUUUAUUAAUCUUAUACUAUAGGUCUAACUCUUUCAUUAUAACAAUAGGAUGCUUGGAAAGCUUAGACCACAACACCAUUCAUUUCAACCCAGAUCAUCACACUACACAUCGAUUGAAGAGUUAGUGGUUCUUAUAAAAUAGUUAAAAAAAUGAUAUAAUUUAAAAUAAUUAUUUUCUUAUUAAUCAUGUUCUAAAUUACAGCAGUUCGGCGCUCGUUGAUUCAAAAUCCAAGGACUCAUUUCAUCAACAAAAUUCAUGAAAACAGAUGGGCUUAUUUGGCAAUUGUGAUACCAGAUUGAGACAUGUUAUAGCUUGUGAUAAUAUAGACUUUGUUGGUUAUGUAUUAGUGAAAACUUAGUAACAAUAAUGUGUGCUCUAUUUGUAUUGGUCGUUGCGUCCGAUCACAAUGGUGACCUCUGUACAAAACUAUAUAUUCAAUAACCAAGCAAAAAACAGAUAGAUCUAUAUCGAGGCUUAGUUGAUAGUUUGUUUGCAGGAGAAAACCAAGCGCGUGCCUUGGGUAAAAGAUUGGUUCUACCGAUGCCAUUUAUUGGUGGUGUAAGGGUUAUGAGACAAUGAUACAUGGAUGAUAUGACCUUGGCACAGAAGUAUGGAAAAUCAAACUACUUCCUCACCAUGACUUGUAAUCCAAAUUUGGAGGAAAUAACUAGGGAGCUUGAAACAAACCUAACUCCACUGGACCGAUCAGACAUUGUUGAGAGUAUUUAGAGCCAGCUAGAAGACCUCAAAGCAUCAGCUCUUCCAUAAACACAUUCUUGGAAUCUUGGCAGCACAAGUCCAUGUCAUUGAGUUCCUUCUUAUCAUGCAACACGGCUACAAGCUAACAUGCCCCAGAGCAAUACAACAUUAUUUCCGAGAAAAAAUUUGCAACCUAAGUUUCCAAACUAGGUAGCCCUAAACAGGAACUUUUUCACACAGGCUUGCAAAGAACACAAUACCAACACCAUGUUUGCUGAACAGUCUGACUUGGAACACACAGACUUGCUAAAUUUCCUAUUCCCAAUCCCCCAUUACCCCAUGAUUAGUUCGCCCAAAAGAAAACCAGGAAAAAAACUCUACCAUCACCAUCUAACAAAAUGGCUACUACAAUACUAUCACUAGCAGAAAUGGAUUCUAACAGAACAUCAUCACCAUGUUUGCUAAAAUUACAGAGAGGGUUUGAACAUCAGAACAUGCUAAAUCGCCUGUUCACCAUCAUCCAUUUGCGAUUGAGACAAUACGAGGUAAAUAAAUGCUACUACCAACGAUACAGCAAACUCUGAUCGGAUGAGAACAUGACGAGUCUGUGAUCGCUUACCGAAAAUAACAUCACUAAUUGGUGCCACGCUGGUGCUAGCGAUGGAUCCAAUCCAACGAAUAACUCCAUUCCCCAAAACAAAGACUACCAUGGCAUCACCACGACGAAAAACCCUGAUCCUACCGGCCUACCGGGUACAAGUUACUACAACUAUGGACCAGAAGAAAUCGCCAAGCAAGAGAAAUCAUGCGAGCACAUCAUAGAACGAACGGGAUAUCGAUAAGAUCACAAGAGGAGAGGGGUCGGCGCGCAAGCGACAUUGCCGGGCCGCGCUUCUGGUUGAAGUAGUUCUUGAGGCAGAUCCAGUGCUUCUGCGCGGGUACCCCUUGAUCUGGUUGAAGUAAGUCCUUGGCGGUCUCCGAUCCAGGAACGUCGCCUCCUCCCCCACCGUAUUGUGCGGGAUGGAAGGCACUUCGGAAAACUAGUGGUGUGAUUGUGUGAAUGGAGAAACGGAAGCUUUGGCUGGGUAAUGGUGCCGGUGAGUCAGGUUUUAUAGGCAGGCGGCC